CUUUACUGUAGCCUGGAAUUGGGUUCGGGCUUUGACUGCGCAGGAUAGGUGGGAGACUAUGAAGUAGUCCUUGUGGGGACUAUGGAGUCAACGGUGAGAUACCACUCUGUUAAAGCUAGAAUUCUAACCGAUAGCCGUUAUCCGGCAUCGGAACAGUUUCAGGUGGGCAGUUUGACUGGGGCGGUCGCCUCCUAAACGAUAACGGAGGCGCGCAAAGGUUCUCUCAGGCUGGUUGGAAAUCAGCCGUAGAGUGUAAAAGCAUAAGAGAGCUUGACUGUGAGACUGACAAGUCGAGCAGGGACGAAAGUCGGCUUUAGUGAUCCGACGGCACUGAGUGGAAGGGCCGUCGCUCAACGGAUAAAAGUUA
rnacentral:rRNA from 1 species